rnacentral:rRNA from 1 species
GACGAACGCUGGCGGCGUGCCUAAUACAUGCAAGUAGAACGAAGUUGCGGACGGGUGCGUAACGCGUGAGUAACUGCCUCAUAGCGGGGGAAAACAAUUGAAAAAGAUAGCUAAUACCGCCAAAUGUAAGAUGGACCUGCGUUGUAUUAGCUAGUUGGUGAGGUAAAGGCUCACCAAGGCGAAGAUCGAUAGACGACCUGAGAGGGUGAAUGGCCAAACUGGGACGGAGACACGGCCCAGACUCGUACGGUAGGCAGUAGGAGGGAAGCUUCGGCAAUGGACGGAAGUCUGACCGAGCAACGCCGCGUGAGUGAAGAAGGUUUUCGGAUUGUAAAGCUCUGUUGUUAGAGACGCGGUACCUAACUAGAAAGGCACGGCUAACUACGUGCCAGCAGCCGCGGUAAUAC